rnacentral:tRNA from 1 species
GGAGAGGUCGCAUAGUGGCCUAGUGCGUUGGUCUUGAAAACCAAUGUGGCGGCAACGUCACCGCGAGUUCGAAUCUCGCCCUCUCCG